rnacentral:rRNA from 1 species
GUGAGGAAUUUUCCGCAAUGGGCGAAAGCCUGACGGAGCAAUGCCGCGUGAAGGAUGAAGGCCUAUGGGUUGUAAACUUCUUUUCUCAGAAGAGAAUUAUGACGGUAUCUGAGGAAUAAGCAUCGGCUAACUCUGUGCCAGCAGCCGCGGUAAGACAGAGGAUGCAAGCGUUAUCCGGAAUGAUUGGGCGUAAAGCGUCUGUAGGUUGUUUAAAAAGUAUUCUGUCAAAGAUUAGGGCUUAACCCUAGAUAGGCAGAAUAAACUUUUAAGCUAGAGUUUGGUAGAGGCAGAGGGAAUUCCCGGUGGAGCGGUGAAAUGCGUAGAUAUCGGGAGGAACACCAAAGGCGAAGGCACUCUGCUGGGCCAAUACUAACACUGAGAGACGAAAGCGAGGGGAGCAAAUGGGAUUAGAAACCCGAGUAGUCC